rnacentral:rRNA from 1 species
AGAGCUUGAUCCUGGCUCAGGACGAACGCUGGCGGCACGCUUAACACAUGCAAGUCGAACGAGAGAAGAGGAGCUUGCUUUUCUGAUCUAGUGGCGGACGGGUGAGUAACACGUGAGCAAUCUGCCUUUCAGAGGGGGAUACCGAUUGGAAACGAUCGUUAAUACCGCAUAACAUAAUUGAACCGCAUGAUUUGAUUAUCAAAGAUUUAUCGCUGAAAGAUGAGCUCGCGUCUGAUUAGCUAGUUGGUAAGGUAACGGCUUACCAAGGCGACGAUCAGUAGCCGGACUGAGAGGUUGAUCGGCCACAUUGGGACUGAGACACGGCCCAGACUCCUACGGGAGGCAGCAGUGGGGAAUAUUGCACAAUGGAGGAAACUCUGAUGCAGCGAUGCCGCGUGAGGGAAGAAGGUUUUAGGAUUGUAAACCUCUGUCUUCAGGGACGAAAAAAGACGGUACCUGAGGAGGAAGCUCCGGCUAACUACGUGCCAGCAGCCGCGGUAAUACGUAGGGAGCGAGCGUUGUCCGGAAUUACUGGGUGUAAAGGGAGCGUAGGCGGGAUCGCAAGUCAGAUGUGAAAACUAUGGGCUUAACCCAUAAACUGCAUUUGAAACUGUGGUUCUUGAGUGAAGUAGAGGUAAGCGGAAUUCCUAGUGUAGCGGUGAAAUGCGUAGAUAUUAGGAGGAACAUCAGUGGCGAAGGCGGCUUACUGGGCUUUAACUGACGCUGAGGCUCGAAAGCGUGGGGAGCAAACAGGAUUAGAUACCCUGGUAGUCCACGCCGUAAACGAUGAUUACUAGGUGUGGGGGGACUGACCCCUUCCGUGCCGCAGCAAACGCAAUAAGUAAUCCACCUGGGGAGUACGACCGCAAGGUUGAAACUCAAAGGAAUUGACGGGGGCCCGCACAAGCAGUGGAGUAUGUGGAUUAAUUCGAAGCAACGCGAAGAACCUUACCAGGUCUUGACAUCGUAUGCAUAGCUCAGAGAUGAGUGAAAUCUCUUCGGAGACAUAUAGACAGGUGGUGCAUGGUUGUCGUCAGCUCGUGUCGUGAGAUGUUGGGUUAAGUCCCGCAACGAGCGCAACCCUUACUGUUAGUUGCUACGCAAGAGCACUCUAGCAGGACUGCCGUUGACAAAACGGAGGAAGGUGGGGAUGACGUCAAAUCAUCAUGCCCCUUAUGACCUGGGCCUCACACGUACUACAAUGGCUGUCAACAGAGGGAAGCAAAGCCGCGAGGUGGAGCGAACCCCUAAAAGCAGUCUUAGUUCGGAUUGUAGGCUGCAACCCGCCUACAUGAAGUCGGAAUUGCUAGUAAUCGCAGAUCAGCAUGCUGCGGUGAAUACGUUCCCGGGCCUUGUACACACCGCCCGUCACGCCAUGGGAGUCGGUAACACCCGAAGCCUGUAGUCUAACCGCAAGGAGGACGCAGUCGAAGGUGGGAUUGAUGACUGGGGUGAAGUCGUAACAAGGUA